CUACGGGGUGCACCAGUGGGGAAUAUUGGACAAUGGGCGAAAGCCUGAUCCAGCAAUGCCGCGUGUGUGAAGAAGGCCUGCGGGUUGUAAAGCACUUUCAGUCGGGAGGAAAAGGGGUUGGCGAAUAGCCGGCCUCGUUGACGUAACCGACAGAAGAAGCACCGGCUAACUCCGUGCCAGCAGCCGCGGUAAUACGGAGGGUGCGAGCGUUAAUCGGAAUUACUGGGCGUAAAGGGCGCGUAGGCGGCCGGAUCAGUCUGAUGUGAAAGCCCUGGGCUUAACCUGGGAGUGGCAUUGGAUACUGUCUGGCGAGAGUUUGAUAGCGGGGAGUGGAAUUUCCGGUGUAGCGGUGAAAUGCGUAGAGAUCGGAAGGAACACCAGUGGCGAAGGCGACUCCCUGGAUUAAAACUGACGCUGAGGUGCGAAAGCGUGGGUAGCAAACAGGAUUAGAUACCCGGGUAGUC
rnacentral:rRNA from 1 species